rnacentral:rRNA from 1 species
UGGGGAAUAUUGGACAAUGGGCGAAAGCCUGAUCCAGCCAUGCCGCGUGUGUGAAGAAGGUCUUCGGAUUGUAAAGCACUUUAAGUUGGGAGGAAGGGCAUUUACCUAAUACGUAAGUGUUUUGACGUUACCGACAGAAUAAGCACCGGCUAACUCUGUGCCAGCAGCCGCGGUAAUACAGAGGGUGCAAGCGUUAAUCGGAAUUACUGGGCGUAAAGCGCGCGUAGGUGGUUUGUUAAGUUGGAUGUGAAAUCCCCGGGCUCAACCUGGGAACUGCAUUCAAAACUGACAAGCUAGAGUAUGGUAGAGGGUGGUGGAAUUUCCUGUGUAGCGGUGAAAUGCGUAGAUAUAGGAAGGAACACCAGUGGCGAAGGCGACCACCUGGACUGAUACUGACACUGAGGUGCGAAAAGCGUGGGGAGCAAAACAGGAUUAGAUACCCUGGUAGUCCACGCCGUAAACGUGUCAACUAGCCGUUGGGAGCCUUGAGCUCUUAGUGGCGCAGCUGACGCAUUAAGUUGACCGCCUGGGGAGUACGGCCGCAA